UCAGUGGUUCUGGGUCUUGGCUGCACUUUCUAAUUACCCAGGAGCCGUUUGAAUGUACCCUGCCUGGAGCCCACGCCCAGAAGUUCUGAUUUAAUUGGUCUGGGGUGGGGCCUGGACUUGGGUGUUUUUUAAAAAACUCUCCAGAUAGAUCCAACGUGCGGCGCAAGUCAAAGACUCCAGCUCUAACCUGAAAAGUUGUUUUGUUCCCACAAACAUUUCCUGAGCGUUUACAAGGUACCGAAUUGUGUGUGGCUGGUGGGAGAGGAGGGCGGCGGAGGAACACAUGGAAAACCAGGUGAGGGCCCGGCCACCCAAGUUCCUGAUGGCCUCGAACGGAGGAGCAGAACACAACAGGAUUCCGCCACCACGAGUGAAGCGAGCAUUGGGGCUGGAAAUGUGGGUGCUCUGGAAGGAAAGGUGAAGGAGCCAUUGGUUCUGAGGCUUACAUCGGAAGCUGGGGUCACGAAGCAGAGCAGCCUCCAGGACGGUGAUGAGUCAUGGCAGCGGCAGCGCCUGCCUCCCCCUUCUGUGGGCUUCCACCAGCACCCGGGGUCGGCUGUCAGCCGUGUCAGUGUGCGCUCUGACAUCUGGGACUAGCAGCGGACCAGCCCGCUCUUGGCAUGAUCUGCACAUUUCUGUCGGCUUAGCUUUGAGCCUGACGGCCGGCCCUCCCGGAGAUUUUAGCUGCUUGUAAGAAUUUCCUUUGCUGCUUAAAUCAGAAAUCUACUUACAUCAGGGAAAUGCAAAUUCAAACCUCAAUGAGAUAGAUACCCUUUCAUGUCCCCGAGAUGAGGAGAAACAGAUAUCCCUCCCCUGCUGGAGUGGGUAUAAAUUGGGAUGGAUACCUUGGAGGACAAUUUGUUAAUGUCUAAAGAAUUGGAAUGCAGGUACCUUAUGACCCGGAAAUUCCACUUCUAGUCCUGUUCUCUAAACCACAGCUCGCGGAGACAACUGCAAGACUCUUCCUUAGGGCACUAUUUAUAACACCAACCCCGCGCCCCCCCCAAACAACCUACUUUGAGGUCAGUGUGGAAUGAAUAAUAAAUUGCAGUAUAUUCAUACAAUGUAUCAACUAGAACAGCACAUACCAAGAUGGAUAGAUCUUGAAAGCGUCACUUUGGGUGAAAAGGACAGGACGUUGCAGAAGGAUAUGCAUAGUGUACGACUGAUAUGCAUUUGAAGACAUAACACGCAAACACAGAAGAGGAGGGGUAAAACACAGAUAAGGUGGUGGCCAUACCCAUGUUAAUAUCCUGGUUGUCAUGUGACAUUGUAGCUUUGCAUCCCUAGGGGCAACUGGGCAAAGAGUAUCAUUUCACAGAAUUGCACAAUCUACAGCGAAAUCAAUAAAACUUCAUUAAAAGAUACCAAACAAUGUAUAUAUAACUUACAGACACAUGGUGGCUUCUUCUGAGGGGAGGAGAGAAAACGGGAUUUACGAAAGACAGAACGGAGGCUUCAAAUCUUUCUUUUUUCUUAGAAAGAUCUUGAGGCAAAUAUGGCAAAAUGUUAACAUUUAAAAAAUCUGGAUGUAGGUGAAUGAGUGUUUGUAUACCUUUCUUUGCAUUAAAAAAUGGCCGAAAGGUUCAAUGAGAUACUGUUCAUCAAUUAUUUAAGGCAGCGCCUGGCUCAUGGCAGGUGCGCAGUGCAUCUCAGAGUGCUCGAUAAUCCCCGAUCCUAUUAGCCAGGAGGGUAAGGGCUGCUGGUGUUUGGCAUAGCUCCAGAGAAGUGUAUUUUUCUUCAACUCAUCCCCCAAUUUUCCCCCUCUGCUGAGGGAUAUAUCAUCACAAACUCUACUUUCCAAUUCUCAUCACUCAUCUUCAUGAAGGACCACAGUGAAGGCAUUACUCUCGAGGUCCCAACACGAUGGAGCGGAGGGGAGGGGAGCACAGUCUGAGGCCAAGCUGCCGGCUGGAUGGGGCUGGAUGCCUCCGCCGUACACGGGGACACCAGCAGCCCUGCCUCAUAGGGUCAUCCUGAGGACCAAGCGAGCUAAAAUGUGUGGCAUCUCAGAACACAGCCUGACAGCGGGGGUUCUGGUUCCCGCAGGGCACAGCUGGGACCAAGGCGGAAACGCUCCCCACCCUGUGGACCCCGUGAUCUUGUCUGAAAGUCAGCAUUUCUGACCCACGUUACAGCUGAGGAAACAGACUCAGAGAACUUGCCCACUUAUGGCACUUGUCCCGGGGCCCAGGGAGGUCAACAAGGACUGUCAGAUCCCUCCCCCGGCCCUGCGUUUGAAGAAGGUCAACAUCUGAGGAGAGAGAGUCAAGCUGGUGGUUGGCUGAAGGCAGAAGGGGGGCUUGGCGGAGUGAGAUGGGGGAAGUUUGGAGGAUCUGGGCCACAUUUGAUCCUCUGGGUCCAUCUUUCCCUCUUCCCUCCCCUCCCAGCUCUGCGAGCUUAGGGACAGCCCCGUUCAGAUAAAACAUCCUGGAGAAAUGUCUGAGAAACUCAUCGGAGAGAAAAUUCCUUCUCAGGCUUCCCACUAUGUUAGGAAUUUCAGAAGGAAGAUGAGUAAAAAAGCAACCCCAGUUCAUUACUGAAAUGGGUGGGCCGAGAUCGCCAUCUGCAGGCGGCAAGUUUCUUCUGCCGACUUGAAUUCUUUCCAUGAUCCCAAAACCCAAAGGGCACCCCCAGAAAUCACCUCCUCCAGCCUCCACGCUUCACCCGAGGGAAGAUCAAGUCCCCGUCAACUCAGCAUCCCACUCAAGAGCACCCCGCCGGCUGGCAGGAGAAUACUUCCAAAAAAGAUGACUUUCAGUAAUUUUUUUUCUUUUUAAUUCAUUUUAUUGUGGUAAAGUACACACAAGAAAAAACUUACCAUCUUAACCAUUUUUUUAAAGAUUUUAUUUUUCCUUUUUCUCCCCAAAGCCCCCCAGUACAUAGUUGUGUAUUUUUAGUUGUGGGUCCUUCUAGUUGUGGCAUGUGGGACACCCCCUCAGCAUGGCUUGAGGAGCGGUGCCACAUCCACACCCAGAAUUCGAACUGGCGAAAUUCGAACUGGGCCUCCGAAGCAGAGUGCGCUAACUUAACCACUUGGUCACAGGCCGGCCCCUUAACCAUGUUCAAGUGUUCAGUUCUGCGGCAUUGAGCACAUUCACGUUGUUGUGCAGCCAUCCCCAGCGUCCAUCUCCAGGACUUUUUCAUCUUCCCAAACUGAAACUCGGUCCCUUUUAAAUUAACUCCUCAGACCCCCAUCCCCAGCCGCCAGCACCCACCCUUCUACUUUCUGUGUCUGUGAAUUUGACUGCUCCAGGUCCCUCACAUAGUAGAAUCAUAUAACGUUUGUCCCUCUGUGACUGGCUUAUUUCACUUAGCACAGUGUCCUCAAGGUUCAUGGACGCUGUAGCAGGUGUCAGAAUCUCUUUCCUCUUUAAGGCUGAACCAUAUUCCGUGGUAUGGACACACUACAUUUUAUUUACCCAUUCGUCUGUCAACAAACACCUGGGUUACUUCCACUUUUUGGAUAUUGUGAAUAAUGCUGCUAUGAACAUUGGUGUGAAAAUAUCUAAGUCUCUAUAAUUUUUAAUGAACUUUUUUUUUUGGAAUUACUUCAGAUUUACAAAAGAGUUGCAAAGAUAAUUCAGAGAGUUCUCGUAAACCCUAAGGUUCACAUCUUACAUGACCAUGUCACGUUUGCCACAACCAAGAAAUUAACAUUAGUACAUUACUAGUCACGAAAUUCCAGACACUAUUUUAAUUUCACCUGCUUUUCCACUAAUGUCUCAUUUCUGUUCCAGGAUGCAACCCAGACUGCUACAUUGUACCCAGUCAAUGAUUUUUUUAAACUGAUAAUUAUGAACACUACACAGCAAUGUGGAAAAAGAACAUUGGUGAUACAGUGUUAAGAGGGGGGCGGGGGGGGGGAAGUAAAUUAGAAGAUUGUAUCUGUGCGAAGCCAGAUAUUGAAUGCAAAUAUUGAAACUAUUUGUGUAGAGCGUGUCACAGUGAUCUGGUGAGGCAGGCAGCACCACUACCUGCCUUUACAGAUGGAGAAGGCGAAGCUGAGGUCACCCCACCCAGGCCACGGGUCCCUGGUGCCCCCCCCGCUGCUGCGGCUGCUGGUGGCUCUCAGCUGCACCUUGCUCUGGCAGAUUGUUCCCAGUCCACACCCUCAGCCCACAGCUGACCCGUACAGGGUACAGUCGGGUCCCUUGUCUCCAGGUUCCAGGCAUCCUCCAGCGCUCCGAGGACCAGGUGAGGCUAGACCUCAGCCCGACUCCUUCCCCACCCUCCUCUGCCCCCUCACUCCCUGCUCUUUCCCCCCAAGGACACUCUCAGCAAGGAUCCCGGGCCCAGGCUCUGCUUCUUGGCGAGUUGGCCUAAGACAUUGACGGAGGUGGCGAAGCAACUGGCUCCCCGGAGGCCCAGCUGGUGGGUGGGAGCCUCGCCGUCUUCAAUGUCUGACUCGAAAUCUACACGCAGACGCCCUCGGUUCCUGCUUCUCACGGGCAAAGCUUAUUCCAAGGGUCAGGGACACGAAUCCGACAACCGACCCUACGCCGAGGCUCCCUAAUGCUGUGCAAUCACCCGGAUGCCGCCAGCACGGCCGAGCGUCACGGGAGCCUGGACUCCGAGGUAAGGCAGCCUUGGGAUGCCAGGCCACACUCAGGGCAGGAACCGGAGUUUUGCCACAGAUCCGCACCUUGCAACGCAAUCUUAGGAGGAAGCUUGUAAAAAAAACAGAAGCAAGAGGAGCCACUCCAGAUGACAGGGGACUGGCAGCCCUGAGGGCCCAUCCACUAGACUUUUCUAGAAAGUUCUGAGGCCCCAUGACAGAGGUCAGAAAAUGCAACAGUAGCUCGAGCACUGUAAAAAAAAAAAAAAGCACAGCUCUUGACUGUACUUAUUUUCCUUUUUUUUUUUUUGAGGAAGAUUAGCCCUGAGCUAACAUCUGCCGCCAAUCCUCCUCUUUUUUGCUGAGGAAGACUGGCCCUGACCUAACAUCCAUGCCCAUCUUCCUCUACUUUAUAUGUGGGACGCCUACCACAGCAUGGCGUGCCAAGCGGUGCCAUGUCUGCACCCGGGAUGGAACUGGUGAACCCCGGGCUGCCGAAGUGGAAUGUGCUCACUUAACUGCUGAGCCACUGAGCCAGCCCCUUAUUUUCCAUUUUUACAUGUGCUUUUGCUGAGUUUGAAAGGAAUCUAUGCUUCGGUGUAAAAGAAAUUCAAACACUGCAAAAAAAUGUGACUCCUCCCUAAUUCUUCAGCCGACAGCAAACCUUACCACGGUUUACAAGGCCCCACGCCUUCUAGCGCCUGCCCAUCCCUGGUGUCGGUUCCUACCACUCACCGUGCUGGACAGAGAGACCUUCCAUCUUCCCCACACGGCCACAUUUGUCCCCCUGCUGCCUCAGGGCCUUUGCACUUCCCAGUCCUCUUCAGAAAGCCCUUCCCCUGCUGCUGUUCCAUUCUCGCCACCCAUCCCCACACAGCUCCCAUUUCUGGCUUCUUAGGGCUCAGCUCGUGUGUCCUCCUCAGAGAGGCCUCUCUGAUCCCUGGUCUACGCUGCCUUCCACUGCCCCCCAGUUAUUGUAAUAAUUUAUCUUCACUCCACUUAUCGCCAUCUGAGGUUAUUUCGUUUGUCUACUGUCCGUCUCUCCAGCUGGAGGGGCAGCUCUGUGAGGGCAGAGAUCUUAACUCAGCAACUCAGGCAGACCAGUCUCUCAAUGAGUAUUUAUUGAAUUCAUCAAAUACCAUUUGGUAUAUGCAUAUUUUUCCUAUGCAUAUACUAAUAUUUACUUACUUAAUAUUUUAAGAAAGCAUCAUAUGGCACAUAUAAUUCUGCUAUUUGUUGUUUCCUUUGACAACAUGCCCUUGACUGAAUCUGACACCCUUAUGAGAGGGCGGUCUGUUUAACCAGCCCAGGUCCACUCAUUCAUUCAUUCAUUCAUUCGUCUGGUCCAUAGCACUUCCUGAGCAUCCACCCCCGGCCCGUCCGAUGCGGCAGACACCAGCCACAUGGGCCUGGGAGCCCCGCACGGGUAGCUAGUGUGACCCAGGACCUCAAUUGUUCAUUUUAUUUCAUUUUAAUUAAUUUACAUUUUAAAAAUGAUACUCAAUUCAGCUACCGGAAAACUUUCAAGUAUGUUUGGAACAACUGAGGCAUACGAACCUACUUUUUCAACCCUAAAUUUUAUGAGCUCUAAAUACAGAUCAAGUAUUUGUGAUGAAAAUUGAGCGUCUAAACCGAGAUGUGCUAUAAGUACGAUACAAGCUGGACUGCCAGGACAGUGCACAAAAAAACGGAAGGUAAAAUAUCUCAUUCAAUCAUUUUAAUAUUAGGGCCAGCCCGGUGGCGCAGUGGUUAAGUUCACACGUUCCGAUCUGGUGGCCCAGGGUUCGCCAGUUCCCAUCUCAGGUGCAGACGUGACACCGCUCAUCAAGCCAUGCUUGUGGCAGGCGUCCCACAUAUAAAGUAGAGGAAGAUGGGCACGGAUGGUAGCUCAGGGCCAGUCUUCCUCAGCAAAAAGAGGAGGCUUGGGGGCAGUUAGCUCAGGGCUAAUCUUCCUCAAAAAAAUAAAAUAAAAUAAUUUUAAUGUUAAUUAUAUGCUAAAGUGAUAAUGUUCAAAUAUGUUGGGUUAAAUGAAAUAUUUUAUUAAAAUUGAUUUUACCUGUUCUUUUUACACUUUUCAGGUGGCCACCAGACGAUUCUAAAUUACACACGUGGCUCACAUUCCACUUUUAUUGGAUGGUGCUGAUCUACUCCGUCCUGGGAGUGAGCUAGGCUAUCACUGGAGAGCAAACUUCAUAAAAAGGUCAAUGUUGACACAAGGAGUUCUCAACAACCGUAGUCCAGCCAAGAUAGCACAUCUUUGAUUUACUAACUUGUUCUUUCAUUGUUUAUUCAAUCAUUCAUUCAAUCAACAAACAUCUUCAAACACCUGCUACCUACUGGGCACUGUCUCAAGCUCUGGAGCUCCUGGUGAAACAAAUCACAGUCCUUGCUCUCAGUCUUCCCCGAGCUCAGGAGGUCCGCCCAUCUCUUUUGUUCACUGGCAUUAACAUUUUAGCCUAUAUGCUUCGUCUCCUGCAAUCCUUAUUUACACUUCUGAGAGUAAGUUGCACGCACCCUGGCCUUUUGCCCUGAAAUGCUUCAGGGGUGUAUUUCCUUAGAACAGGGACGUUCUCUUACCUUAGUUCGGUUACUGACUUAGGUAAAUUUAGCCUUGACAGUAUUAUUUGAUCUAAUCUCCGGUUCGUAUUCCAAUUCUGGCAGUUUCAGCAAUUGACUCAAUAACACGCUUCAAAGCGGUUUUCCCUCCAGGACAGGAUCCAGCCACGGCCAGGCGGUGGAAUUAUUCUCCUGUCUCCCCAAGGUCCCGAGUCCCUCUGAAGCAGAGUUGUCUCUCCCAUCAUACAGCCACGGUGGAAGCUUUCCUUCGAGGUCUCCGCAGAGAUAAGCUGACCCAGCUCCACAACCAACUUUGGAGAAAAUCCGACCUCAUCUUGUAAAGCUGAAGAUGCCCAACCCCGGAGCCAUCCGUGCCAGUCCCAGGUUCACGUCCCUCAGAUGCGCCCCUGCACACGCAGGACAGCAUCCCUCACGGCAUUGUCUGCAAUGCCCCAAACCCGAAACAACCAAAUUCCCAGCAACCGGGUAACGGAUGCAGAAGCUCGGCUGCAGUGCCCCGCGGAAAGCUCUUCAGCAGCGAAACGAAGGGCUGCCGCUCUGCCUGCGAAAGUGAAUUAACCUCAGAAAGACAACAGAAAAAAGGGCAAAGUCCAGAGUAAUACAGACAAAUAAGGUUCACAAACGUGCAUUAUGUAGUUUGGUGACAUAGAUGUUAUUAUAUAUAUAAAAAAUAUACAUUAGGGGCUGGUCCCGUGGCCGAGUGGUUAGGUUCUCGUGCUCUGCUGGGGCGGCCCAGGGUUCGGAUCCCGGGCGUGGACAUGGCACUGCUCGUCAGGCCACGUUGAGGCGGCGUCCCACAUGCCACAACUAGAAGGACCCACAACUAGAAUAUACAACUAUGUACGGGGGAGUUUGGGGAAAUAAAGCAGAAAAAAUAUUAUAUAUACACUUUAAAUAUAUAUUGUACGUAUACUAAAUAUAUAGAGUUUAUCAUGCCCUUGUUAUCUUUAUAGAUUUAUAAUUUUAUUAUAUAUGUAUAGUAUUUUUACUGUAUAGAGUAUAAAUAUAACUUUUUCUUUUUGAGGAAGACUGGCCCUGAGCUCACAUCCAUGCCCAUCCUCCUCUACUUUAUAUGUGGGACACCUACCACAGCAUGGCUUGACAAGUGGUGCCAGGUCCACACCCAGGAUCCGAACCGAUGAACCCCGGGCCACCGAAGCGGAACGUGUGCACUGAACCGCUGCACGACCAGGCUGGCCCCUAUAAUUUAUAUUAUAUAUAAACUUAUAUAUUAUAAUAUCUAAAUAUAUGUUUACUAUAUAUAGUAUUUUAUCUCUAUAUGUUUACUCUAUAUUUAUCUAUAUAUAUUUAUUAUACAUAGUAUUUUAUCUAUACAUAGUAUUUCAUCUCUAUAUAUUUUAUAAAAAUACUUUAAAUACUAUAAAUACUAUAAUAUAUAAAAUUAUUUAUAUAAUAAUUUUCGUAUUUAUAUAAUAAAUACUAUAUGAAUAUAGAUAAAAUCCUACAUGUAAAGUACUAUAUAUAUAGUAAAAUUAUAAAUCUAUAAAGAAAGAUAGGAGCAUGAUAAACAUAAAAUGUAUUGCCAUUUCUAGACAGUUCAAAACGUUUUAAAACUCAGAGUCGCUGGUGUGUGGACCCCCAGGCGGGCGGCUGUGGAACACCAGCACCCUGAGGACCACAGUCUGAGAACCGCCAGGCUGGCAGCUGUCUAGGUUCUGCCCCCUGGGGUUCUGUUCCUUCCAACUUGAUGGAAAAACCGCAAAAAAAAUGCAAAUCUGUUCUAACAACCUAGCCUCUCUUCAAAGUAUAUACACACAGCAAUUCUGCAAAUACAAACUUGGAU
ensembl:lncRNA